rnacentral:rRNA from 1 species
GAUGAACGCUAGCGGCAGGCUUAACACAUGCAAGUCGAGGGGUAUUGGUUUUCGGACCAAGAGACCGGCGCACGGGUGCGUAACGCGUAUGCAAUCUACCUUUUGCAGAGGGAUAGCCCCAGAGAAAUUUGGAUUAAUACCUCAUAGUAUAGUACUUUGGCAUCAAGGAACUAUUAAAGUCACAACGGCAAAAGAUGAGCAUGCGUCCCAUUAGCUAGUUGGUAAGGUAACGGCUUACCAAGGCUACGAUGGGUAGGGGUUCUGAGAGGGAGAUCCCCCACACUGGUACUGAGACACGGACCAGACUCUACGGGAGCAGCAGUGAGGAAUAUU